rnacentral:lncRNA from 1 species
UUUCUGUGUUGUUCAGCUCCACCAUCAGCCAUGCAGCUGUCCCUGGGUGUAAAGAGGCCUUUCUGACCUGAUCCUACCAUGCCAUGGACCCUUUGAUUGUUCACCUGGAGCAGUAACAGCUAGCCAUUAAACAGCAUUUAAUGGCCAUGGCCAGAGACUCCAUGUAUGGGACUGUGCUGGCAUCGCUUUAGGAAGGGGAGGGGAUUGGCUACUGGGGUUGACUAGCUCAAAGCAACACAGAUAUAACGAAAAAACCUGUGUUAUAUCACAUGUUCAUCUACUGCCUGCAUUCCACCUCCUGCCGCAGGCGCUGCCGCUUCCCUGCAUGCCCCGGGAACUGCGGACUGUUCAGGUGCUGUGGGGCUACAAGGACAAUCUGAUCUGCUUCAGCUUCUUCUAUGCUCUUUGCUGGGUCACUUCUUAGGAAGAAGGUGGGUCAUCCCAUAUGAUUUCUUUCCCCUCCCUGCCUUGGCCACCAUGUCCACCCUGGGAAGGUGAUUGCCAUGGCCCAGAAUGACGUUUCUCCCUCUUAGCAAAGUGAGCUUGCAGCGCUGAGCCCCUCUCCCCAGACUGAGUGCUGUCAAAAUUGCUGCAUUCCAAAGGAGCCUCAUUCUACAGGUAUUUCCUUUCUGCUCUGCUAUGUGUCUGUGUAUCAGUUAGGAGGCUGAGAACAGCUGAGCAUCAGCGAUCUCCUUGUGCUGUGUUCCAUCCUGCGGCUCGUCGCUCCAUCACUGAGGUACAUUAUCCUACUCUCUAAACCAAGCAUGUGCCCAGGAGAUAAACCAAUUGUUUUUUUGUGCUGCUUUCUAUUUAGAUCCAUAGGCUUCAUUUCAGCUCUUUGGCAAUGCUUCUUCUAACCUUGCUGCAAGAAGUCCUUGUGGCCAAUGCAUCCUCCCUAACGAGGCUGACGGGCUGCUGGCGAAAGGUGCCAGAGGAUGGAAGCUGGCAUGCUGAGGGCUUCUGUCCUGCGGUGCAGGCUGCUGGGAUCUGCCUUCCAUUGUGCUACUGAAACAUCAUCAAAGCCAGGAAAUGGGAGUGCCAUUCCAGUGAAAACCUUUGCAGUGCUGCAGCAGAGAGCCUUAAAUUCAAAGCAGUACUUUAAAAAUCAGAACUAGAAGGCGCUGCAUUAGGCCAGUGAAUGAUUCCAGCUUACACUGCCCACACAUUUGGGAAGGCUGCUUCAUCACUUCACUGCUACAUUUGUCACCUGACACCUGAGGACAGGUCACUGGAUCACAGUUCCUUACUGCCCUGCAGCUGGGGAAGGAGUUUGCAGCCCUUCUGCUGAGAAGACAGGGCUGGGUCUGCAGCCAUUAAAAGGAGCAGAAGAAGAUUUCCUCGAAUUCCUGCAUUGCUGUGAGCUGACACAAGGGCACGGCGCUCCACGCAGCAACCACCAGAUGUGCAGUGCAGGUUAUCUCUUCGCUUGUCUAAUCAAGUCUGGAAAAAAUAAUUGUCAUUAAUUCACUGACCUGAACCUGGGCCGAGCUGUUCUGUGCACUGGCUGAAUGUGACAACUAAUCCAACAGAAAUAUGCAUUAUAUUCCCCUACAUUGCCACCUUGAAACGUCCCGGCACUGCCUCCCUGCAGUACUGGUGCUGCCACAGGGACAGGGACACGAGCUGAAGUCUCCAUGAAGUCCUGUAUGGAACAAAGGCCAGAAGGAAGUCAUGAUUUCAGUGUGUCUACUGUACUGGAAGGAAAAACAGAACAAACAGAUCCUCCUUGAAACUCUUCCCACAACCAAACUUUUAAUGUUUUUAUGAGAGAUCUGCACAUGUAUUCACAUUUAUCAGCAUAUGCAAAUCUCCCACUGAAGGGAAGCAGGCUGUGUCAGAGCAGUGGAGGUAGAAGCUGACAGUAGAUCUCUACAGCUGUCAAAACAACGGCCUGGUAGAAUGCAGCCAUCAAAACACGAGUCUUGUGUGCACAUCUCAGACUUGGCUGUUCAAUCUCUUGCACCAGAAGCUCCUAUGGCAAAUGUUUUUGAAACACGGAUGAUCCGAGUGCAUCAGAAAGAAAGCAAUAGCUGUGACAUCUUGGUCUCCAUCCUCAAAAGGCACUGGGAAUUCCAAACAAUCUAGUAAUUGGAAUUCAUAGCUAGUUUCUGUAUGAAAAGUCAGCUGUAGAAAAUAGUGUGUUUGAAAGUAUCCCCUACUCCAUACAUCAGCAUGUAACCCGGAAGCUUUCCUUCCUUGCAGUUCCCUUUGGGUUGCUUUUCCCAGUAAGAGGUCCUACCCCCUUUUUGACCAGAGGCUCUUGUGGUAAAGGGGAGCGCUGUGGGACUUCCAAGCUGGAGUGGAGGGAGAAGCGGGUAGUGAGGCAAUGCUGUGCUAUUGGAAGUUGUGCUGUUGUAAACCAUGGGAACAGCUGACCUGAGGAAUCUGCGAGAAACAAUCCUCUAUCGUCAGACACUGAAUAAUCUAAUGACUUAUUUCAGUUUCUUAAAAAUUGCCUUUUCAUCAGUUGAAAGUUGCAAAUUGCUGGUUUAAUGAGUCCCAAGCAGAGAAAAUAGAAGUAAAAAUAUAUGCAUCUUAUCUAAUAAAUGCUGAGCACUAGACAGGCAUGACUAAAGCAAACUAACCUGCAGAUUUUAAAUCUCUUAGGAUCUGUUGCAGACAGCUUGGUUCAAAACAGCCAACGAAAGAACAGAGCUGCAGCAGGUCUGCCUCGGCACCACUUGCUGCAGCUCCUGGAGGAGCAGCGUUGCAUUUUCUGUUUGGUAAACUGCUGACAGUGCUAACAGUACCAUCUUUGAAACAGCAAACUGAGCAUGUGCCAUCCCUUUGAAGGACACAUGCUGAAAUGCAGGAUGAGUAGUUCCAGAUAAGCCAGCACAGUAUGUCAGUACCUUCAGCGUGUUGCACAAACUUGCUGAUAGGGGACAAAACAAAAACCACAGAAACAAAAGCAGCUCAACAUAUUGUUCUGGUGAAAUGAGAACUCUCUCCCCAGUGUCUGUAUGCUUUGUUUAAUGGAUCAUGGGAGCCUCAGGAUUCACCAGUGUCUCACGAAGCUGCACCAGGCGAUGGCAGAUGGCAGCAGGAGCACGCGGUGCAAGAAUGCGCCCUUCUCUUAAAUGCAGCAUGAGGGUGGAGGCCCUGGGCUUCUUUCCACGCAUGACUCAAAUGAAUCUUCUGCCUAAUGAGUAGCAUUUUGAAGUCAGCUUAAAAAUCCUAUAGUGAUCCUAUCUAACCAGCUUCUCCUACGUAAAGAUUAAUUUUUUAUAAUGGUGGUUUUCUUUCCAGUUGCCCAGGGCAGUUAUUUGCUAGGGCAGCCUCCUAUCAGCUGAGAUAACAAGGGCAAAGACUGACAGUCCAGCAGAGUCUGGGUUGUGCUCAUUUCUGGGGGAGCAGCGGAUACUAUUAAUGGUGUUCAGGCCUAAAUGGAACCAAGUGUCUCAUUGGGAAAAUAUGUUGGGGAGAAAGGGCUGUGCUAGGGGGCUGCAUACCCAGAUUGUGCUCCUGUUGGAUGACUGGCUGAUAAAACCAGCACUCCUAUAUAACCUUGCAAAAGUCAUUAAUGAAGCUUCAGUGCCUCACAGUGAUGGUGGUGCUCCCAGCUGAUGGAGACAUGCUGGAGCAAGCUGCAGUAACAGUGUCUGACUGGCAGUCUUCCCUGCUGGGUGCUGCUGUCAGGAAGGCACAGUAGAGACUACGUAGGCAUAUUGAAAUAGGGUAUGAGAUCAAAUCAUCUAAAAGAUCUGCAAGGACCCUUGUUGUCUUCUUCCUUGCAGUUUGCAAAUUGCUGCUGUAUACUGAUUUUAUCUGAUUUCAAAUGUAGCUUAAGAGACUGUUUGGUAGGCAAGAGCAUCUCUAAACUAGUGGUGAGCCUUUGGGGGCUGUGUGGCAGGUGACACAGGCUGGAGGUUUCCAUAAGUAUAGGAUCCAGUUGGCAGCAUAGGCUGGUGCCCUUGGAGGUGGUAUUGCUGCAAUGGGCGAUCUGUGUCCUCAGCUGAGCACUGGCACAGAACUAGCUGUGGAUGGCAGAGCCUCGAUUUCUUCUUCCAAGUAGCAAUGGGCUGCAAAAAUUAACAUGAGUAAAAUCCAUCUCCAUCCUAGGAACAUGUAAACAUCUGGACGAGUAGUUAUGAAGAUUAAUGUUAUGCACAGGGUAAGAAUUCCCACUGACAUUUGCUCAGUUUGCCCAAGCAAGUUAGUGGAAACCUCCUGUGAAUAUGAACCGUACUCUGCAGUGCUGCGCAGGCAUUUAACAGCUUGGAUGCCAGUCUCCUUACAGGCACAUCAGUAAGUCUUAGUCUUUAAUUGCCUUAAAAUAUAAUAUUGGAAGAAAAAAAAAGUCAUAGAGGUAUGUGUAACUUUUAAGACUAAGUGGAAAAGAAGUAAACAACAAUAAAGUUAUCCCCAUCUUUGGACUUAAAAUCAGUCCUGACUGAGGCAGUUCUUCAAGGAGAGUGGGUGACAGCUGUCUGUCAGGUCUGAGCAACACGUCUUCUGCACUGAUGAUCAAUGCCUGAAAUAACGCUGAGGUGCAGCAGUAGCUGUGUAUCAUUCAUAGGAGGGUGGCAGCUGCUCCAAGUACAGCACUGAGCGUGAAUGCCUGCUGUCUCGUGGUCAGUGGUUACUGCUGUGCCUGAAGCCUGGCUGUGCCUGUGGUCAGAUGCUCUGACAUCAAAGGUACUGUUGGCUCCUUUGGGCUGGUGAACUUUAUUGAAAGCAUGCCAUGUUUGGAGUCCCAUGAGCAGGUAACGUGCAUCCAUCUGAGCGUGCAGGUUUGAACGUGUCUGCCAUAAGGUAUUUGAAUCUGGAGGCAAUGUGAUUCUUGCUAUGCAAUAAAAUCAAGAAUACACAGUCUUUUAGUGUCUAAACCCCUCCCAGUCCUCCCCUAUUCUGAACGUACUGUUAUCAUUACACCGAUACUUGCUGUGUAAUACACUUUAAAUGAGUGUGAAUGUGCUAUGGACUAAUGUGGUUAUCUCCAUAUGGCAGGAAGUUGCUUGGUCGGAGGUCAUCUCCAUACUGGUGUAAUUCCAGGCAUGUUGCUGGUUUUAAUAAUAUAAUGACGAUAAUUGAUGUUCUAAAACUGGUAAGGUCAGUGUUCACUGGCUGCUACAUUUACUUGGCAGCCAGCUCAGCAGUAUUAACACGAAAUGAGGCACAAAUCCCACGUCCUGCUCCCAGGCCUGAUAGCAGAAUGGGCGCUCCAAUGAAUCGCAGUGCUGUUUACUCCUUUGGCACUCCUUUCUUGCUGACCUCUGCCCAGGUGUGCCAUGCAGCAGGGUAAGACGGGGUGAAGCCAGGGCCAACCUGAAAAGCCCUCACGUGGCAGUUUUGCCAUGACGAGUUAAUCACAGCAUUUGCUGGUAUUAUUCCAGACUUUUUUUUCCCCCUUUGGAUGUGUGCAGGUUCACAGAGUAAAGGCAGGACGACUGUUGAAUGUGUAUUAAUGGCUAUAAGAAAUAUAGGUCCCAGUUUGCCAGUUGUUCUGCCAGGUUCUCAGACAGGAAUGUUUAGGGAGCUUUUUCUCGGCAUGGUGCAAAGCCUGCAGCUAAGAAAAGAGCCCAGGGAAGAUAAUCUGCCUUUUUCCAUGUUCAGCAUUUCCCACCCGGUGUGAACCUAAAUCAUGUGGAUUUCACUACUGGCUCUGCAAUGUUACGGGGAGAUAAGGCGGUAACAACUCAUUUGUAUCCCCAGAUGAGAUAAACCAGAAGCACAUCUCCCCGUUUGUGAGUGGCUUCCUAUCAGAGGUGAGAAUAACUGCGCGGCACUAAGCUGGCAGUCAGCAGUGAUUAAUAAUAGUAAAUCUUUUGCAUAAAUAGAAAGGUGUCAUUGUGUGUAUUUCACUUACAGUGUUUCUAAUGUGUGUCUGUAAUUAAAUUACAUCUGGUUUUCUGUCCAAGAAAUUAAUGUGCACUUACAUAAUGUGUUGGUGCUCUUAUGUUCAGGAGGGGGAAAUGAGUGCUCUGCCUUUUCAAGUGGAGAUUGCUUCAUCCAUAGCUUUUUGGGGGAGUGGAAAUAGAUUUAUUCUAUCUUUGCACGUUCGUCUGAUUCGGUGCUGAAAUCACUGGAGCAAAUUCAGCAGCCCCGGAUGCCUUCAGUUCAGGAUCCCGUUCUGAAUGAUGAUGGAAGAGAAGAAGCGUGUUACUUUGUGCUAAUGGGUUUGCCUUUUUGAAGUAUCCCACUAGGAAUUCUGCAUCUUGGCUCAGUCGUGGCUUGGAGAAUAACCGAGUGUUUCAGGAUCUGCCAGAACAGCAGUGCCCUGGAAAUAUCUGACUGCACAAAAAUCAAAAGGAAAUUGGAGAUUGGCUUUGUUAAGGACACCUCCUGUUCUAUGGCACUGUCACUCAAUCGCUGUGUGGGAGUGCAUACAUUGUCUACAGGUGGUAGUGAGGAGGAGUCAAAGCUUCAGAGAGAGCUGCAGGAACAGCUGGACCUCAUAAGAGCUGCAAAAGAAGAUUCCCCAGCUAAAACAUGUCCAUGGAGAGCCAUAUGUGCAUAGCUGUUAGGAUUUUGGAAUCAGUGUGGUGGAAUGACAGGGAGAUGAUGGGUAAAUAUUAAUUGAGAGAGCAACCCCUGCCAAGAAAUUCUUUGCGAUCGUGUUACCUUCUCUUCAUGCAAAAUAUUUACCAAGUCAAAUACUGCCAUUUAAUUUACCAUAACUUGGUAGUCAUUACACAGGGACUUGAAGAGAAGGCCCAGCGGCCUGGCAGCCUCCUGGUGUGCCUUUGGGCUGUCCCAGAGGCAGUGAGACUGUCAGCAUGGCAGCGUGUGCUGGGAAGCUGCUUUCCAUUCUAUAUGCAGUAUCACAGGGCUGUGCUGAGCCAUGUGCCAAGCUGGCACCUCGUCCUGGCCACCUUUGGGCCAGGGGAUGGAAGGGUAAGAUGAGCUGAGCUGAUAGGUCUCUGUCAUCUGUCUGAAGGGCUUGCAGAAAUCUAGUGAAUGGGGCACCGUGUUUGGGUUUUCUUUCCAGAACUGGCAAUGCACAGGUGUAGGGUUGGUAGCAUGGAGAAGGCCAGACGAGGAAUAGAAAAAAGAGGGAAAGUUCAUUUUUGCAAUUAUUUCUGCACUUCUGUUCCUAAGACCUCUUGUUUUGUUUGUUUGUUUGUUUGUUUUGUUUUGUUUUGUUUUUAUGUUUCAUUUGCUUGGAGUCUGAGCUGGGAUAUCACAGGGAUGCUUCUCUCACUUCUGAUUCAGUAGAGUUGUAUUUCAGGCACUGAUUUGCAUUGACAGGCAGAAAAUACUUCUGUUUAAUUAGAAUAAAUCAUUUUAAAGUUGAAGAUGAAGAUGACCCUGGAAGAGUGCCACUCACAUCUUUAGUUGAUGCCUCAUGCCCACAAUUGAUGUGGGAACCCUAUUCCCAUGCCGACGGCACAGGCCAUGUGUGCACUGAGUAAUCACAAAUUUACACAUCAGCAUUACUCAACCUCCAGGCAGCGUGCGGUCAGUUUUCAUUUGCACUCUUAAAAUUGUUUCCAUUUAACACCCUUAAGCAGCUCUACGAAUUACAGUGAAAUAUAAAAUGACCCUCACAUUUGCUCUCCUGCUUAUUCAACACGACCGUUCCCCGCUCGGCGUGGCAGCGUGCUUUUCAUGUGGCUGCCCAUAUGCCCUGCACAUGACUGUGAUCUGGCUCCCAAAAGGGUAUGUUGUGAUCUGCUCGCAUGUGCCAAUUCACAUAUCUAAACGUUUUCAUAAGGGGAACCCCUUUGUGUUAGUCAUCUGGUUGUCAAACAAGACCUGGCUGUGAUCCUGGACCUGGCACUAGAUGAAAUAUGUGCACUUUAAACAUUUCAUACUGAAACUGAUGGGAAUGGGCAAUUCCUCAGUACAUUUUCUCAAGGUUUUUAAACAAUAAAUGUCAACCUAAGGGCAAAGCGAGACAGAUUUCAGAUUAAAGAGACGGGCUUUGCUUAACAUCUAUAAAUCCCUUAGUCCCAACCUCCUUCAUGGUUUUUCAAACAAGGAACAAGGAAAGGCUAUGUCAAGCGCGGUGGACACUUUUGUCAACACAACUUCUGCCUUUGGUAGCAUGAUAGAAAGAUUUCAAAAAUAGAUUUUUCUGAUGGAUUCAUGACUUGGCAUCCCGCAGAGAAUCUAGUAUUCUUCCAAGCAAAGCUAAAGGUUUGUGUUAGAAGGCUAGCAAAGCCAGUCAAAGAGCCUUUCAUCCUCAAGAUUACUAAAAUAUUCCUUUGUUUAUUUUUCUCCUUCAAUUACUUUUCCUGUCUUGGUUUAAUCUGUAGUGCUGAAGCUUGUCAGCACCUAUAGCCUUUUGUUUAGGAUAGAUGCCUUGGGAGCAUGAAUAAAAACAAUUUUCAUGUAGUGUCUCCUUGUCACAGCUGCUGCCUGAAGCCCAUCGACUUCUCUUUCCAAAGACCCGAUUAUGCACACACAAACAGAACAGAGCCUGGAGCCAGCAGUUUGAUAUUGCUUAAUGCCAGCGAUGAGCCCUCGUUAACCCGGUGCUCCAUCAUUUGCAAUAGAAGCAGCAAAUUUGUUUUCUCUCCCAGUUUCCAAAGAAAAAAAUGUGUCAGAAUGCUUGUCUUGACUGUAACUUAGUGAAAUGUUUAAAUAUUUUAGAAUGUAAAUUCUAGAAUUUGCAGCUGCGGGGAGAAGGAAAAUGAAACUUGUAUUUGGAAAAUUAAUUCUCAAACAAAAAUUCCCUGUAUAUGUUUUCUUUUUCCAGGAAAGUGAUUUCUUGAAACUUCAGCAUAUGCUUUUCAUUUGUGUGAGCUGGCACUGCCACGAGCCAGAGGAGGCUUGCAGCAAGCGGGGCCAUGCGGGACUGGCACCUGCUCGGCUGUGCUCGGGUGACUUCUGGACCUUCUGGUACUGUGAGUGAGCCGCACUUGAUGGAAAGAUGCUGAGCAUUUUUUCUUGACCCCAUGUCAUUGUGGAGUGGUUGCAGCUUGCUGUCACGGGCAGUCUUGUCUUGCAGAGAGCAGCAUAUCCCUGCAGAAAGAGAAAUGCUGUGGUAGCUCUAGAUGCAAGAGAAGCUUCAAGGAAAGUUUGCAUUUAAUUAUUGUUAGAAAUGUGCAGCAAAACAGAUUUCAUUGUUUUUAGCUCUUACAAAGCCAUAUGCCUAUGUCUCUGGGUUCCAAAACCACAUAACGAACAAAACAAAACAAACAAACAAAAGCAAGACCACAAGCAAGACCACAUAGCAGUAAUUAAAUGUCUCUGUUCCAGAAUAGGGUGCGUACUGUGAUCAAGACUGGCAGUAGCAGGGAAGCCAGGGUGCAUAGCUGAAGGAGGAGAGCAGACAGGAGCAAUGGGCAGGGUUUGCAGGGAAUGAGGAGCGUGGGUCUGUGUGCACCCUGGGAAGGGGCUCGUAACCAAGCACACAGUACUGGAACCUGCUGUGUGGUUGUUUGCAGCUGGAAAAAUGCAAUGGAGACAUGAUUCCUCAUGUAAUUCUUAGGUUGAAUCAGUUGGACCUAUUCUUUGCUUACUCAUUCAAAACUAACAUUUUAUUCUGUCCCAGCGAGCUGAAGCAGACUGGCUUACUUCUCAUAGGGUGUCCAUCCAGCUGCCUUGAAGACAGCAGAAGGAACUAGAGAUUGUGGUCACAGUUCAGUGACUGAGUGAAGGGAUGAAGGUCAUUCCUCUCACUGAGACAGUCUCUUCAUACUCCCUGUCACCGCUUCUCUGCUCAGUGUUGUUCCUGCUAAUCGGGAUGCUUUGAAAUAGAGAGAGAGGAUAGUGGGAGGUGCAAGAAGAAAGACUGAAUUGAAGGCAGAAGAGAGCACAGUGGGGAUACAGACAGAAAAACAGGCUACGUGCUGAGCACAUUUAAAGGAGCACAGCUGGAACAGUGCUGGAGAGUAACAAAACUAUCUUUCCAUGUGUGUUUGCCUGUUCCCGUGUUAUUUUUCCCCAGUACUGCAUACAGCAUGGUUUCCCCACAAGGUUAAAGAUCACAAUAAUGUUUUAUGUAGGUAGCAGAAUACCCUGCGUGGAGGAAGUGGUACAUGAUUUUACUUAGAGAACAGAGAUUUCAUGGUUUUUAACACAUGCAAGGAAAUUUGUCUACUGGCAUCUGUUGCGGAGAUGGUAUCCCUUUGACACAAGUCAGGAAGCAAAAGCAUCUGUGGCUGUAAGGACAGUGCUUGCAGAAAACACUUGUGCAGAUAUCUUUAUUCAGGUCUGGUUCCCAUGUAGAAAGAGGCAUGUCCUCAGGAUGGCUGCUGAAUGCCAUCAGCACUGGGAGAGAAAAGAACAGAUGUAUGGCUGUAAACCGAGAUGUGAAAAAGCAGGAAUCUGAAGUUAGCUUGAAAGUUAUUUGGGCUGGGGUAUUGGUGGGAAGUGUCAGUGGGCAGCAGCUCAGAACCUGCAGUAACUGCUUGGCUGCCUGGCUCUUUCUUCAGCAAUCUCACUUGAGUGUUUUCAUGUGCAAGCAGAGGACACUGAUCUGCCCUGUCUUCCACACAUGUGCAUUCAUUCAGUGCAGUUACCUGUGUUGCUGUAGUAUACCUGCCCCUUUGGACUUGAGCACAAAUGUAUCAGGUAAAUGCAGGUGGAUGCAGCCACCGGUAAAGAAGUUGGUUUUUUUUUUCAUUGUGAUUGAUGCGUGGAUAGCAACCCUAUCCCAGUCUUACUAUUGGAUCAUCAGUCAAGACUUGAGGACUGCUGAAAGUAUGUCCUCAUCCCUAAGGUGUUGCAGUUCAGUGCUGGACCCGUCCAAGCUGAGACAAACUGAUUUUUGCAUUCAACAAAGCAAUGAUAGGACAAGAGGGCAUGGCCUCAAGUUGUGCCAGGGGAGAUUCAGGCUGGAUAUUAGGAAGAAUUUAUUUCCAGAAAGAGCAAUGAGGCAUUGGCACAGGCUGCCCAGGGAGGUGGUGAAGUCAUCAUCCCUGAAGGUGUUUAAAGAAAAGGCAGAUGUAGCACUUAGGGACAUGGUUUAGUGGGCAGUAUUGAUGGUAGGUGGAUGGUUGGACUAGAUGAUCUUAGAGGUCUUUUCCAACCCUAAUGAACCUGUGAUUCUGUGAAUGCAUGUGGAGUAUAUGACUGGCAGAAAGGACGGAUGUUGGGACGCGAAGCCUGAGUUCAGGUCUGAUACCAAAUGACUCCUGCAAAUUGGGCAGAGUAGGCUUCUGCUCUCUCCAUGCUUAAUUUCCUAACACUGUUUGGAGCUAGUUGGGAGCAGGAGAUAGUGAGCUGUCCAGAAAAACAACCAUUCCAGGUGCCGUGAUGAGUGUGGAGUAUACAGGCAUUGCACAGAAAGCAGUGACAGCAUGGUCUGCAUUAUCUGGUGAGGUGGUACAUCAUCUGCAUACCUGUGUGAUUCUAUAUGUGUGUAUCAGCAGCCUAUUGUUACAACGUGCUUAUGUGGCAAUUCGUUUGUGGAGUGUACCUUGUGCUGGUGUUCCACAGUAUUAAUGUUCUCAAGCAUGGGAAGACAUCUGUCAAGCAAGCACUAGUAAAUACCAUGCAGCUGUACUUUGUCAGGGUUCCAUUUUGCAUUUCCCUCUUUUCUCUACCUCAACACUCCUUCAGAUCACACUGACAUCAGUUGUGAUUAUGGCAAAAGAAGAUAACUCCUGUUAACCCUGUCAGAUGCUUGCAUAAGAUGAAGGCAUUUUCUUAAUGCACUCAUAAUCUAUAACCAGUUGUUUUUAAAGCCAUUUGAGAACCGUACAGAGAAGGCAUUUUGCAUUUGGUCAGUCAGAAGUUGGUAACUGUUUUAGAAGCCUGCUGGAAGGAAGACAUCAAGAAAAGCUUUUGCAAAGCUGUGUUUUCACCUCACAGUGCUUUGCAGAGAUGCAUUCUUGGGUUCGGUUCAUAUGGGUUCAUUUCUCUGACUUUCACUUUGAAUUUUGGAAUCAAAGGCAUUUUAAAAUUUUAGAUCAAACUUAUUAGAAAACACUGUAUCUCACCUGGUUUCAGCUCUUUAAGUAGUGAAAAGCAGUGCCUCCCCUGCUGUGAUCCUGAUACAAAUCUGUAAGUCAUCACGCCAGCGCGUUUGAAGCUGGGCCUAGCACUUCUGUCCAGAGUACAGCGUUGCUCAGAAAGUUCAUGGCUUCACCUUUGAACAGGGUGUUGCAGCGAAACAGGCAGCAGGCCGGAUUUCUGGGUAGAUGGCAAAGACAGCACCCAGCUUUCAUUUUGGGGAUUUUCCUAGCAUAAAGCUGCCCGAGCCAGAAGGCAGUUUGCGGCCACAGAUCCCUGAUUUUGCUCCUUUGAAUCACAGCUGGUGUCCUUUUGGGUGCAUCAGACGUGUUUGCUUCUGUCCUGGAGGCCGACAUUCAGCCAUCAUGGCCGUGGCUAAGGUCUCCAUCCUUGCCAUAUAGACUGGAGUCUGCAGCAGUAGGGCUUAGAACUUGAUACAAGCCUGAAGGGAGAGUUAUGAGCACAGUGACUGACAGCUCACGACUGUCUGAUAUGUCAGACCUCUGAGACCAGGUCUGGGAGGGAGGGUGAAUACAGUACCUGGGGAGCAGUCCCUUCCCUUCCUCCUGCUGGGGGGCAGUGGGGCUGGGCCUGUCCCUGCUGCCCACCCUGCCCUCCAGAGCACAGCUGCCCCUGCGGUUUCCGGGAAUCCCCGCCUGUAUGUGGUUUCUUAACCAGUCCUGCAAAAAUGUAUUUUUUAUUGAAUGUUAUUCUAGCCAUAAAACUUUUAAGCUGUUCAAAUACUUUCCUUUGUGCAGUAGACAUCUGAGACUAUUAGGCAUUAACAAGUAAAUGUACUUUUUUUUUUUCAACUGCUUCAAUCUGCUAAGGAGUUUUCUUUGGACUGAUUCUCCUCUAGUGUUGUACCAGAGGAAACAUUACUGUGAUCUGAUAUCAUAUCUCCUCACUAUCUGUCUCCUCAGAUUGCAGAUGUGGAUGUGUUUUAUGUUGAAUUACAAAGGGACUUUAUUUUGUGGUAACCAGUUAGGUCAAACAGCUCACCCAUGGUCCAGAAGUGCUUAAAGCCCAGAGGUACCGAUGUGAUUCACGGCAGUCCCUCUGUAGAGCCCAUAGAGUGUGGGGUGAGAGCGUGGGCUUCAGUAAAUCUCAGCUGGAAGAUUUUAGGAGGUGAAUUUCACUAUUUCUUGAGCUAUUUAAUAAUGACUAUAAUCCAUUUUUUAACACCUGUCACAGGAGCUUCAUGUCACUGGAGCUGUUGACUUUAAUGUACUUCAUUACUUGUAUAACGGCAUCAUCUGUUGUUGGCAUCCAAUUAAGUGACAAACAGUGAGAAGGAUCCUGCCCCAAACUGUAUGAGACAGGAAGCAAGCAGCAUUCUUGUAGUUGUGCAAACAGUUAAAGCAGUGCCAAAAUUUGCUUAACAUAUUCCGGAUCUUAUUGAAAUGCUUGGCCUAGUAUGGUUAACUAUACACCUGAAUUGGGCUGUAGACGCUUAUUUCAUUGGCCUGAUAUUCCUGUUGGUAUUCCUGUUGAGGGGACUCUUUUCUUGGGGUUUCAGGAAAGCUCCUUGCUGGGGUUGCUGGGAUCAGUUCUGCCCCGACCACCCACAGCCCAGGCAGCAUCGCUCUCAAGUAAGGCUCAUUCCAUAGCAGGUGCCAGAGGCUUGCCCAGGGCAGGCUGCUCUCAGCCUGUGGAAGAAAGCUGUGUAACACCUCUUAAUCUGUACGUAAUGGUUUGGAUAAGGAAACUGGUAAUCUGAAAACAUUUAUCUGGUGAUGCUUUUGAUUCGUAUGCCUGAGUGAAAUAUUGUGAACUGCUCCCAGUCCUGUAAAUGCAAGGCAAUUAGACUAUGAGGUGAAGUAUAAAGAGGAAUUUGAAGAGCACCAUGCCAGUGAUAAAACCCGUAAAACCCUUGCACAUCCAUCACCUGUGUUGUGGAUGCAGUUCUAAUCCCUGUAUUUUAAGAAGGGCAUUGGGGAGUUAAGAGGCAUUACAGUAAAGAUGAUCGUGGGGCUGAGGCAGCUGUUUUGGGGGGAGAUGAGGGGUGGUUGUUGGGCAAGGCAGACCCAAUAGGGCACUUGUGAUUUCAGCCUUCAGCAACAUAGGUAAAGUAGCUCUCUUCUCUGUUGGACAGAAUGACUGGAGGAGAAUUCUUGGGCCUUUUAUUCAUUAUUUACAUGGCUUUUGUGUCUGCUGGCAUAGUGUAGCGUAACCCAGAAUGCGUAAAAUACAGUGAAGUUGAAAUAUGUGUGAAUUUAAUGCCUGAGAAACAUAAAUCAUGUCAUGCAGGUGAGAUGCAUUGACUGAAUCAAAUGCACUGAACUUCAGAGCCAGUCCUUCUUUGGAAGCAUGUUAAGAACUGUCCACCCCACUCUUCUCAGGGCAUUGUUGUGUGCUCUACCAAAUGAGAUUCUCAAUUCUUCUUGGAAAAAAAAAAGAUUUUUGUUUCCUAUUCUGUCUUCGAGUCCAUCUUUGCAAAGAAGCAACAAGUCUCUGAGAGGGGGAGAUGCUGGUGAGGCUUCAUCUAAAUCAGGCAGGUUUAUAAGACCAGGAGGGAAAACACAUUUUCAGACAUGGUCAAACAGAGGAGCUGGAUGAUUUCGUCUUUGUCCAUUCAUAACAAUGACGGAACAGAAACUAAAAGUUGAGCUUAAAAGAGCAAAAGCUUUGGAAAGAAAACUUGCUCAUGGCUUCAGAGCUGGCUUGGAGUAUGUAGGCAGGAAGCCUGGAGCUUUGUAUGGGAGUUUGGUUUAACCCUAUGAAAAACAUCAUGGAAGAGAGCUGUGGGAACUUCAGCAGUUUUCUGCAGAGUUGAACUAGGAAAGCCAGGAUAGGUUUAAGCAUCAAGGCAGGUUUUUUUUUUCCAGGAAAGCAGAGUUCUAAAAUAACACCUCAGAGGUGUUUGUAGCAUUGGAUUUUUCAUUCUUAACUUCUUAUUCAAGAAAAACUUUGAUUGUUAUGUGUAGGAAAUUCAGUGUUUGUAGCUUAUUACUUGUUUUGCAUGUGAACAAUUUCAGUCAACACCUAAAAAUUUGUUUAUGACAGUUUUGCCACCUGUCCAGUGGGAACUGCUUGACUUUUUAACCAGCCAUUGACUUGCAGAACUGCUUUCAUAAGAUGCAGAAAGGAUUGGAAGGUGUUUUCCUACAGACAGAUUACAGCAACAUCUUUAAUUUCAAGCCUGUUAGCAGCUGAUAGCCUGUUAUCCCAUAGCCUUUACACAGACCUUGACUCUCAUAACCCUCACAAUUAUUCUUCAUCCCACAAAUGUUAAUAUUUACUAUAUAGUCAAUCUCCAAACCACAGGGAGUCAUUUGCAUGCGUGGUAUCACUUGCACUUCAACUAAAUAAAACCAUUAACCUUUCACUGAUACACUUAGGUCAUAGAAGUCACACUUGUAUGGGUUGUGUAGUUUGGGUUAACGCUGUAACAUUCCCUUCUCACCCUUACAGUACAGCACCUCCUGAGCAUGGCAGCCCUGACACUGAUGCUGAACUUGUGUGCCCUGUCCCAGGCGGGGACUGGCACUGGAGCAGGUCGCACUGAGCCAUAAUUGUAAAUUCUCUGGGGCUGGAGUCACCAGCCAGUAAUCCUCUAUGCACAGGCUCCCCCUUAUGGAAAUGAAAGAUACUAAACAAUGCUUUUUUCCUCUUGUCUCAGACAAAACUAAUAGUUUAUUACUGUGAAGACACUUCUCAAGCCUGCAGUAGUACUUUUCAACUUAAAGUUUUAAGUUCGGGUGAUGAUGGAAUGGAUGUAGGCUCACCGUGGCAAACAUGAAUGAUGAUGACACAUGUAUGUGUUUAUACUCAAAGUGAUAAGAGCUCCUUUGGAGGCUGGAAUUUCUUGUGAUUUCCUGAUGGUGAAGAAGGGAACAGGAGCUCUUCAGAUGUUAAGAGAUGCUGCAGAGUAAAUCCUAGCUGUAGCCUCCUCUGUCUUCAGAGGAGCAAAAGAAAGUCAGUGGGAUCAAAUAAUUUAGUUCUGGAAUAGUUAUAUUUUGAUGCUCUACAGUGGAUAUUUUGGAUUGGAUCCUGAUGGAUCAGAACCAUUGGAAGAGUUAGAAAUAGACACCGUGGAUUUUUCCCUUAGCCAAUUCUAGUAAAAAGUUUCAAGUUGUUCCAGUGAGACACACCAUGUGUAGAUUUAGAUAUGCUCUUGCCUUCUUACUUUUAUUUUGCGUGAAAGAUGGUUCCCAGCUUCAUGAAAGCUAUGUGAGAGCAGUUACAGUUCUGUGCUCAGCCUAUUCUGACACUCUAGCACAUGUGCAUGACAACAGUAGGCUAGACAGAGCUUUGGAUUUGCUCAGUGGGGCAGUUCUUGUGACUGCAGGAUAUCUCCUAGUGCCAAAGUACCAUAGUUGGAGCUGAUGCUGAUCAGCAUCAUCUCACUGAUGUCCUGUGUUCUGGUGAGAGGCUCUGAUAGCUUGUGUGAGUUGGGGUGACAGAGCAGUUCUUUCUUUUGCGAGACCAACUUUCUGUUGGCGUAAGCCAUAUAAAUGGGUGUUGUUCAGACAACACCUGAAGGGUCUGCCUGGCUCCCUAACAUCAAAAUCACAUGGGGAGAUUGCUUAAACAUUUAAAGUACUGUUGAAGGUACAUUAUUAGUAACAACAAAUAGUAUUGUUAGUUUUUAUAGUGCUAGUAUUAAUAGUAUCAAACACAUUUAGAAUAUAUUGAAGUUGCUGGUCUGGGCCCUCACCUCACAGAUGAAGUCAUUCCUGUACCAGAGAGAACAGGAGGCACACGUGUCCCAGGGCAGGAUCUGAACUGGAGAGGCACAUACUGGUUUUGCUUUUUUUUCCCCCCCCAUUUUUAGAUUUUAUUAGUAUUAUUGAUUUGUAUUGUUCUUCUAACUUGUUUAUUACCCAGUUUUGAAACCAAGAUCCUAGUGGAGCUACUGGAGUGGACUUUCAUGCUGAACUUGAGUCCUUCUUCCCAUCCAAACUAAAGUAUUCUGCAAGGCAUGGCUCACACAGUGCUUGCAGCCUUUCUGCUUUGCCCGUGUGCUGAAUGAGGUUCAGGCCUUUGUGGGCUCAAUGUGAUGCCCUCCUGUGUUCCUGGUCUCAUUUCAAUGCUGCUAGGGAAAUUGAUUUUAAUUACACAUGCUGCUGAUCACCUAAUCUCAUAAGGGGACAUGGCUGAGAAAUAAAGAACCCAGAAAAAGGAAACUAAUUUAUGCACUCUGGGGACAGGAGGAGUGAUUUGAGUGGUGCAUGGGAAGAGGAGUGCUGGAGAGCAAAAAGAAGCUGAGAUGAUGGAUGGUGUGAUUAAAAACUCUGAUGUUUCUCAGUACAUUCUCCCUUCAUUUGCUUAAAGCAAACACCAUUUCAGUUUUCUCUGGCGGCAUCUUUGGGUUUUAUUUUAUGCAGUCAUUUUUAAUGUACUUUGCUAUCUGGCCUUGCAGUUGUAGGCUGUGUUCUGCAAACCCAACUGAACCAAACUGACAGUGGAGGGCCCAUUGCCUGAGCAGCACAGUUCCAGUUUUGUGUUUGAGAUCAGUUCUCAAGCACAGGGAUUGCACUGCAAAGGCACUCGGGGGGACCGUGAUGCCACCCAGACAAGUCUCAGUGUGCCCAGUUUCUCCGUCCCUCAGCGGUCCUCUCUGCCCAGCACCGAGCAAAGGCCGUGCCCGCAGCCUGCCAGGCUGCCGUAUGCCCGAGUCCC